CAGAGAAUAGUUUAUUAAAAUAUUAAUUUUGGAGAUUAAAGAUAUACUUAUAUGUUUUUCUCUGA
rnacentral:tRNA from 1 species